rnacentral:lncRNA from 1 species
CUUCCCUUCCGACCAGCUCUGAAAGGGUAAUCAUGAGAUGUGAGGUGUUGCCCCGAGAGACAGGAAGUGGAUGGAGAGAGUUAAUUUGACUCAACUUCCACAUGAGCGCGCAGCCCGGAGGUAAAGUGCCAGAAAAGAAGAAGCGUUGUUAGAGAGAGACGUACAGCAGUUGGCACAACGGGAGCCACUUCAGAGCAGAGGGGGCAAUUCACUCUGCGCUUUCACACUCACCAUGUCGCACGCAAAGCGGGCUCUUUGAAUUGGAGACCGUCCACACCCAGUUUUACAAGGAGCCUGAGCGACAGAGAGAGCGAGAGCGAUCGAGAGUCUGAAGAUGUGGAUGAAAUAUUAAAAUUUCACUCGGUGGUGGGGAUCACUGACAGUGGCUCAGCCACAGCAUGGGAGACCUGCGCUUAACAUUGCCAUGGAAACAGACCCGGCAGCUGCGUUGUGCAUGCAGUCAGCCAAUGGCUUGUCUGACUGUUUAGCCUCCCUCCUUUGUGAAGAGCAAAAUGGUUGCAGACAACGAGAAAACUACUUCCAGCUCAUGGAGAAGACAAGCCUCUUUCCCCCUCCCUAUCUCAAAGCUGGGGUGAUUUUCCUUUGGGUGGUCAAUUUCUUUUAAGCCCCAAAGUUUAAAGCAAUUAAAGGAGUUCAUUGUUCACAAGUGGCCUAAGUCUUUC